rnacentral:misc_RNA from 1 species
CCAAUAGCGUAUAUUAAAGUUGUUGCAGUUAAAAAGCUCGUAGUUGAAUUUCGGGAUUGACGUGAUGGUCAUGCCUUAAGGGGUAUGAACUGUUGCAGUUGAUUUCUCACCUUCUGGAGAAACUUGAUGUCCUUUAUUGGGUGUCUUGCGGAUCCAGGACCUUUACCUUGAAAAAAUUAGAGUGUUUAAAGCAGGCAUUUUUGCUCGAAUACAUUAGCAUGGAAUAAUAGAAUAGGACGGCAUGGUUCUAUUUUGUUGGUUUCUAGGAUAACCGUAAUGAUUAAUAGGGAUAGUUGGGGGCAUUAGUAUUCAAUUGUCAGAGGUGAAAUUCUUGGAUUUAUUGAAGACUAACUACUGCGAAAGCAUUUGCCAAGGAUGUUUUCAUUAAUCAAGAACGAAAGUUAGGGGAUCGAAGACGAUCAGAUACCGUCGUAGUCUUAACCAUAAACUAUGCCGACUAGGAAUCAGACGAUGUUAAUUUUUUAAUGACUCGUUUGGCACCUUACG